GAAGUCGGUUCCUUUCAUCUUUCUCCCAAAGCAUGGUGGUGAUGAGGAAAUUGAGUCCCAGGGAUCCAAUAUGUCCAGGAUCACCUAGCUGGCUUGAUGCUCUAGCACUUGAAUUAUGUCUCCAUCCCUGCUUCUUAUUGGUUAUUUUGGAGAUGAAGUCACAAGAACUUUUCUGCCUAGAGUGGCCUUUCACUGUAAUCCUCCAGAUCCCAGCCUCAUGAGUAAAUUACAGGCUCAUUCAAGUGGAAAAAAGCCCAAAGUUCGUAGAAGAGGAUCUUUUCCAUUGGAUCUUAGCAAGUAAGUUUUCAUUACAUGGAGAUGGCAUAGAGGAUCAAGAUUGUGGGGCUGGGUAUCAUGGCUAACACUGAAAUCCUGCACAUUCCUGGGCUAGCCAUAUGACUGGUUCCAGCUGCAUAUCUCUGGGCUGAAGCUUUGGACUUUAAAGAGUGAGAUUUUUCCACAUGUUAUGGUGAUAAUUCAAGUACUUGGAGUACAAAGUCUUGAGAGGUGUCAUUGUUGAAGCAAAACUGGCUACAAUAAAGAUGACUGAGAAGCAUUAUUUGUAGAUCUCGCUAUGGUGUCACUGUUAUUAUACCGAGGACAUCAGGAGAUACUGAGAAGUCUCUAAAGUGGCAAUGAAAUGAAGGGGCUUGGAAAAAGGAAGACUGAAGACAACUUGAGAACACGGUGCUUCAGGUAUAUGAGUUGCAUCAUCCUCUCCAUUGGGAUAUCGGAGCUGGCACGAACUAGUGUUCAGGCCUCUGUGCUCCAAGCCCCUAAGGAUACAGGCAUGGAUUGAAUAUGGAUGUAACCUUGCCUGCCAUCCUCUGCCUGAGAAGAGAAUUCUCCUCCAAGAAAGUAUUCUUUACCUCUAGAAAUGUGUGGUUACAGGAGUGGAGACUGGAAUAUAACACAUGUGGCUUCCUCUCCUGCGACUGUCUCACCUCACUAAAUUCAUCAGCAUCCAUUGAGA